rnacentral:rRNA from 1 species
GACGAACGCUGGCGGCGUGCUUAACACAUGCAAGUCGAACGGAAAGGCCCCUUCGGGGGUACUCGAGUGGCGAACGGGUGAGUAACACGUGCGUAACCUGCCCUUGCCUUCGGGAUAACUUCAGGCAACUGGGGCUAAUACCGGAUAGGAAUCCUUGCUGCCUGGUGGGGGUUGGAAAGAUUCGGCGGUUUUGGAUGGACUCGCGGCCUAUCAGCUUGCUGGUGGGGUAGGGGCUUACCAAGGCUUUGACGGGUAGCCGGCCUGAGAGGGCGGCCGGCCACAAUGGGGCUGAGAAACGGCCCAGACUCCUACGGGAGGCAGCAGUGGGGAAUAUUGCACAAUGGGCGGAAGCCUGAUGGAGCAACGCCGCGGGCGGGAUGACGGCCUUCGGGUUGGAAACCGCUUUCAGCAGGGGCGAAGCUUGUGGUGACGGUACCUGCAGAAGAAGCACCGGCUAACUACGUG